CGAAGCUUCAGUCAUAUGAAACAAAGUUCUGAACAGAAAAACAGCAAAGCGAUGUAUCCUGACAGGCAGAACAAUGAAUGCUGUUCCACUUGAUGGCAGAAGGUACACAAUUAACCUGUGUAUCCACCUGUUGCCAUUUGACACAGGCAUGACGAUGCUGCAAGCGCUUGUAGCGGCAGGAUUGGGCGUAGCCGCGGUUCUUGAGGGUGCGUCGCUUCUGCUUCAGGCGCACCACCUCGUCUUUGCUGACGCCCCGCAGGUGGCGGUUGAGCUCGCGGACCGACAGGCUCACCAGCUGCUCGUCGGAGAAGCGCUCGUUCACGCCACACUGCGAACAGAUGGAGAAUAUGUUGUUUAUUCAGUGCUACACAUGCUAGUGAUGAUUGGCAUUGCAUAUAUUUAUACUAUGGCGAGUGUUAUUGUGGCUUGUCAGAGGGAACAUUUCAGCAGCACAUGGCCAUAAUCUGUCACGUAAUCGGACUAAGUGUGGGUGACAGUUAUCAGGAUUACGCAAGGCAAUAAUAGCAGAUAUUAUUAUAAGCCUGCACUGCGCUCCAUAUAGAGCUCUCAAAGAUCCACUCAGACAUCCCCAUCAACAAGUACUCUGAAAUGUAAUACCUGAAUGCUGCGUGCACGCAAUAGAGUACAUUCUCUGAAAGCCAGCAUUUUAUUUUGCAUCAUUAACUUCAACCAGCAAGUCCCCAGGCUUUCAUUUCCAAUUUACCCUCAUAAAACACAAAAUUCACUGCAUCGCUGUGCUUAAAUUGAAUUUUGAAGUCCCCUAUUAUGCAAAAGUGACUUUUCUUAACGAUGUCUUAACAGCAAUAAGUGCCUAGAGCCUGUUUAUGAGCCGCAAACAUGAGAAAAAUCUAUCAUCUCCCUCACUUGUUUGCUCCACUUUGGAGAGAAGAGGCACUGAAGUGGAGGGAUAGCUUUGUAACAAAAACAGGUUUGAUUACAAGACUAAAUAUUGAUCUGAAUAGGAGUAUAUUGGCAUGCAUCUAAAAUGUACAAUAUUAGCAUUCCUUUGGAAGCAGUCUAUUCCAGACUUUGCUCCAGUAUUUCUAUUCAGAAGCACCGAGUCCAUGCAGACACCAUGUGAUCACAACAACAGUACUAACAAGGAAGGAGCAGGGUCGACCAAAUGGCAGCACCCUUCGCCAAAGUCCGGAAAAGAUGUCGCAGCCGACUGCAAAACCCGCCAUACGCAACAAGUCCCUCGCGGUGGCACAAAACCGGGGAAGUUCAACACAACCAACCACAUCAUGCAUCCAAAAAACAGCAUGAGGAUCCUUACGAGAGCCCCGCCCCCAUCUGAAACAUGCUCCGAACGACACGUCGGCGCCGCUGUCGCUGCCCGAGUCGCCCAGAUUGCUGUUGGAGCUCUGAGAAAGACCUGGAAACUGAGUGGAUGGAGGGAUGGAAGCUAAAGAUUGCCUUAUGACAGAAGGUGGAUGAUGGACUAAAGAGACAAGAGGUACCUGAGAGGUGACGGCGGCAGCAGCCGAGUUCAGCAACGCCUCCACGGCGUCCUCACAGCCCAGGAAACUGUUGACUGGCGCCCUCUCUCUGUCGCCACUCCCCCCCAGCGCGCCCAGCAGUGUAGCGGGCCCCGUGACUUCUCCUCCAAACUGUUGCUGCAGCGCCGCAAACCAGAUGAGAUCCUCCAGUGAGGCCGGAGUGGGGCCCUGAGCCCCACUGUGUGCCGGGCUUCCGUCUACGUUCCCCUGAGAACCGGAGCUGACGCCCGACGUAAAGCUGUUGGAGAUGGACAGCGGGAAGGAGAUGGAGGAGGAGGACGAAGACAGGGAGGAUGAGCCCGAAGGCGGAGGGUGGGCGUCGCUUAGCGUCGGAGAGGGCGGCAAUGAGUUGUAAGGGCUGGAGCUCAAACUGGAGUCCUGUGGAGGGUGGCCGGCGUACGGCGAGCUGGAAGGGUCAUGGGGGAGGCCAGAUUUGGGGUACGUGCACUGAGCGGAGAGCGGAGGCGUGUCGGGUUUCACUUCGAACUUGAGGAGAUCAAAGUCGUUGAGGUACUCCAUGGCCAGCGGGCUGGAGGGGAGGGAGGCCAUGGGGAGGGAAGGUGAGGACAUGGUGUCUUCUGCUGCUGCUGCUUCCACAGGCUUUCUGCUACUGUCAGGAACGCUGGGAAAUCCAACUCAGCACCUCAGAGCGGCUCAUAGACAGCAGCAGGGCGGGUGACAGGGAGUAGACUGACUGAGAAGCUUCCUCUUUUUUAAACUGGGCUUCCUUGUGUCCUUGGCUUUGUCUUUCUAGUCCUGGAGGAAAGAAGCAAGUCAGAGAAGUGUUAUAUCAUCAAUACUAGCAAAAACUAUCAUCACAGCCAAAACUCAUUAAAAUCCACGCAUUGCUCAUGAAAAUAGCUCAUAUAGUUAACCUUGGAAGUUAAUCUUUUUACCGUUGGGUCUCAAAAUGGUCGUGCAUGUUAACGUGUAAUAAAAAUGUUAUAUAUAAAUAGGUUUUCACUUUAACCACAUUAAAUCUUUUGAACAACCUCAGGCCUAAUCAUUGAUGUAGCGAUUUUUUUGGAGGUUUUGUUUUUUGUUGUGAAAAAAACAAUUUUUUUUCAGUGGAAAGAUCACAUCAAAUUAGGCACAAAGUGGAAUGUUUGGGAUAUAAUAAUAAUAAUAAUAAUAAUAAUAAUAAUAAUAGCAAUAGUAAUAAUUAAUAAUCAAAUCUAAUGAGCAGGAUGUAUGUUAAUUCUGAACAAAUACCAAUCUAAAUCAAAUCAAAGCUUAUUUGUAUAGCACCUAACAACAUCCCAAUGGUGGCCAAGGUGCUUCACAAGGGUAAAAACAGGUUAUAGCAAAUAAGAACAGGGUAAGAUUGAAUAAGAUAGAAUAAGAACCAAGACAAAAUAAAAAAUACAUGCACAGAAUCACAACUAAAAUACAUAUAACUAAACUAACACAAAAAAGUUAACAUUUUGGUAUGUUUUAGGCUUGGCUAAUUUUGGCAUAUUGACAGAAAUAUUUAUUAAUAUGCACUGGCCCUGUAAAUAAAUAAAUUAUGUAAAAAAAAAAAAAUCUCACAGUGACGAAACGCUCAAUCUGUGUCAAUCCACGUAGGCAGGAGGUAGAUGUUCAUUUAUUGUAUUUGUGUGGACUAAUUCUUGUACUAGCAAACCGCUGCACACAAAAGGGUGAAAAUGUGUCAAAACAUGCAUGCGUACUGUGUCGCCUGUGCUGUUAUUUUUCAUACAAAUUAAACACCCAAAGUUUGACCCCGUAUGUCUGAUUGACUUGAAAUUUCUCAAACAGCUCAAUGCGCUUCACACAACACCCACGCCAUGGAAUUUGGGACACAGCUUUCGCAACUAACUUGGCAACUAACUCUCCAUUUGUGCAACGCUUAUAUAGAUUUGAUGAUAUCUGUAUUACAUGUUUGCUAGCAUGUCCUCUAUAACAUCUUUACCACAACCCAUAGGGGGCGCCACCAAUGUCCUUUAUAGUCAUAGUCACAAAAAACGAUUAUGAAAAGUUUUUCCACAUGAUACAGUAUGUGAAAUGAUAUAAACCUCUAUCUAACACAUUUAACAAUAGCACAAGUCGCACAAACUAAUCAUCCCAAAAAGAAACGAAGAUUUCAAAUAAGGCUUGAUAAUUGUUAAUAUUUCAAUAUGUGAGAGAUAUGUCGACGUGCGAGAACUCUGAGAGGGCUUAAUCAUUUUUGACACAAAGAUUCACAAGUCUCAGAGGCCAAAUCCAAUUACUGUUUGAGUAAUCCAGAGUACAUACUUUCAGCAGGAACCCAACCACACUUUUAGAGGUGAAACUAUUUAAUUUGCAAAAUGAUGCUAAAUAUGUAUCUCCUCAAGUCGGGUUUACAAGUGGAUGUCCUCUAAUAUGCAAUGAAAAAACACUUUUGAAACAGUCAUAUAUAUAUCCUGUAUAUAUAAGUUCUAACUGUCAGACAAUGUAAAAUGUUUCAGCUGACAUACCAGCAGCGUAGGAGGAAAGUUAUUCCAGCGCUAAUUACAGGCCUUCAGAUAAAAUCGUUGUGAUCAAAAUGAACAUGUAAUUAAAAAAAACAAAAAAAAAACACCUUUGACUUGUGUCUCUGCAGUACGCCUCAUUAGUUUGAACCCCUAUGGCUGGACGGGGACGGAAAGCAAACAAGUGAUGUGAUGCACCGAGGCCUUGGUCAGGGUCUGGACCAGAAUCACCAUGACACACACACACACAAACGCGCACACACACUGGCAAAGAAAAGUAUGAACUUACCGUCAGUCAUAGAGAUGAAGGAUGAGCGCUUGUCAACAUCACACAGACACACACACACACACAAAUAAUGGACGCACUGACUGUGUGACUGACAGAGUGUGUGAGUGUCGAUAAUGCACUGAGUGCCACUGCCCCCUUUCUUUCUUUCCCCACUGCUGCAAAUCCCUGUUUGCAACAAUCCCCCCCACCCCCCAGCUCCACCACACCGGCCAUGUCCCCUCACAUGGUUUGCUGGCAUGUGCACCCCCCCACACUGUUUUUCUCACUCCCUCUGUCUAGCUCCCUGUCCACACACACACACACACACACACACACACACACAGUUUGCAUCCACACCUUUAUCGCACGGCCUCCUAUGUUCUAUCCAUCGCAUGUUACAUACAGUUUUUUGGCACCCCUAUGGGUUGUGGUCAAAAUACUUUGGAAGACACGCUACCACAGGGGUGUCCAAAGUGCGGCUUGGAGACCAUUUGCGGCCCGCAGCUUGUUUUUAUUGGCCUUUGACAUAUUGUCAAAAUAAAAUUAAUGAAUUAUUAAUGAGAUAUUGUAUUUGAUAUUACACUAAUUUGCUUUGUAACCUGCAACCCAAAGCCAAGAUGCACUGUAGGUGUUUUGUUUAGAUAGUUUACAAUGCUUUGACAAAAGCAUUGGAUUGGUUUUUACCAUCUUCAGUGUACAAAGUGUAUCAAAGUAGCACCCCGUAAACUUCAAUUGUUAUGUUUACCUCCUGACGGUGCAACCAAAUUAAAACACAUCCACAGCAAGUUAACGCAUCACAUAAAUACUACUACUACUUGGGUGGUAAACAACAACUAAGCACUAAACAUAACACAUAGCUUACAACUGUUGUUUAUAAGUGCCUGCAAGGCAUGCUGGGUAGUCCAGUAGCAACAACAAUAUGAGCUAUAAACAAUAGAACACUGGCUAUCAAGAGUGUUGUAACCUCCUCAACAUAUUUUGCGACCGAUGCGACAAACACUGCAAAAUGGAUCGCCUUUUUGU